rnacentral:lncRNA from 1 species
AGAAUUGACACGUCACUUCUGCUCCUACCUCUUUGAAUGAACUAGUCUCAUGCCCAUGCUGACUCCAAGGGGCCAAGAGAUGCAAUCCAACUGUCUGACUGGGACGAACCAGAUUAGCCCUGAGCUAACUACUGCCAAUCCCCCUCUUUUUGCUGAGGAAGGCUGGCCCUGAGCUAACAGCCAUGACCAUCUUCCUCUACUUUAUACGUGGGACGCCUACCACAGCAUGGCUUUUGCCAAGCGCUGCCAUGUCCGCACCCGAGAUCUGAACCGGCG